GAUGAACGCUAGCGGCAGGCCUAAUACAUGCAAGUCGAGGGGCAGCGCGGUAGCAAUACUGGCGGCGACCGACGCACGGGUGCGUAACACGUAUGCAACCUACCUUCAACUGGAGGAUAGCCCGGGGAAACUCGGAUUAAUACUCCAUAACACAGGGAUCCCGCAUGGGAAUAUUGUUAAAGCUACGGCGGUUGAAGAUGGGCAUGCGUUCGAUUAGCUAGUUGGUGUAGGUAACGGCUCACCAAGGCUACGAUCGAUAGGGGGUCUGAGAGGAUGAUCCCCCACACUGGUACUGAGAUACGGACCAGACUCCUACGGGAGGCAGCAGUAGGAAUAUUGGUCAAUGGGCGCAAGCCGUGAACCAGCCAUGCCGCGUGCAGGAAGAAGGCCC
rnacentral:rRNA from 1 species